AUGAGCAGCGCCCGCUCGCCGUCGCCGGCGCCGCUGGACGACGACGACCUGCUGCCGGAGAUCCUCCUCCGCCUACCCCCGCAGCCGUCCUCCCUCCCCCGCGCAUCCCUCAUCUCCAAGCGCUGGCGCAGCGUCGCCUCCGACCCAGCCUUCUCGCGCCGCUUCCGCCGCCACCACCGCCUCAACCCUCCCCUCCUCGGUUUCUUCCGCGUCGAACUGAGGGACCGCUUCGAGCCCCGCUUCCAGCCUUCCCUCGACGCCCCAAAUCGGAUCCCACCCGAACGCCUCUCCUGGCGAUGGAACGAGGGUGACGACUGCUACGACCUUGUUGGAUGCCGCCAUGGCCUCGUGCUAGUCCUCAACAGAGCGCACACGCAGGUCAUGGUCUGGGACCCUGACACCGGCGACCAGCGCCGCGUCGCCGUUCCCCCGGGGCUCAAAAUUGCUGGAGCCCCGAUCAGCGGGACGGUGCUUCGCGGUGCCGGAGACGACGACCACUUCCAGGUGGUCUUGGUAGGCACUGAUGGUGAGGAGGGACAAGUUACAGAAGCGAUUGCUUACGUUUACUCGUCGGAAACUGGUGCGUGGGGCGAUCCGAUCUCGACACCGCUUCCAUCCAAGCAUGCCGUGGUUUCUGUCAACAAGACUGCUGUGAUGGUUGGGGAUUUCAUUUACUGGUUGCUCAAUUCGGACGAGAUUCUUGAGUUUGAUCUUGAUAGGAAGAGGCUAUCCUUGAUACCUGUGCCUGCGGACUUGGAUUUAGGGAGCGGCAGUUUCUUCUUCUCAGUUAUAAGGGCAGAUGGCGGUGGGCUUGGUUUCAUCUUUUUGUCAGGCUUCAAUGCCCAAUUGUGGAAGAGGAAGACCGAUUCUGUUGGUGUUACUUCAUGGGUGCUGGAAAAAACUAUUGAAAUUGAUAGGUUACUUCCUCCGGAGGAUGUAGAGGCGAGACGGUCCCUAAUGAUACUAGCGUAUGCCGAAGACAAUGACACGGCUCUCAUGUGGACAGGUAUUGGUCUCCGUGGUCGUAUCUUCACGAUGCAGCUUAAGUCAUUGAAGUUUGAGGAACUCUUGCGAAACACCACCUUUGGUUACUUUCACUUAUUCGAAAGUGUUUAUGCUGCAGAAACAUGCAUUGGUGGUGGAGCUGGUCUUUUGCACAACACAUAA
rnacentral:rRNA from 1 species